rnacentral:rRNA from 1 species
UAGUCAUAUGCUUGUCUCAAAGAUUAAGCCAUGCAUGUCUAAGUAUAAACAUCUUUAUACAGUGAAACUGCGUACAGCUCAUUAUAUCAGUAAUGAUUUAUUUGAUGGUACCUUACUACAUGGAUAACCGUAGUAAUUCUAGAGCUAAUACAUGCGUACAGUCUCGACCGCAAGGAAGGGAUGUAUUUAUUAGAUAAAAAAUCAAUGCGGUCUCGGCCGGUUUAUUGGUGAUUCAUAAUAACUACUCGAAUCGCAUGGCUUUAUGCUGGCGAUAGUU